rnacentral:lncRNA from 1 species
GAAGGGACUACUGGGUCACAUAGCUGUUGGGGAAGCAGCUGAGGAGACCAUCACCAGAGCAGGUCAUGAUGGUAAUUCUCAGACCCACGUGAAAUGCCAGAGAAUGCAAAAUGUUGCUGAAAGCCCACAAAACCAGGGAGUUGUGGACUCUGCCUUGCCAAAGGAAGAAUGUGCACAUCAGAAGGGCACACAGGCACUACCGGAACAACACACAUCAGCAAACUUGUUGUCAGAUGAGAUGCAAAGUAAGAAGCAACCUGUGGCUGACCAGGAUGAGUCCCUUAUGGAAGAAGUCACCCUAAGAAAGCCAACCAAGGACGAAAUUGCUAGACAGCUUCAGAGGUUGAAAUCCCCAAA